ACAUCUAUGCACACGUUUCCAUCUUACAGACCAGGAAACAGGCUCAGAGAGAAGAAGGGAAUUAUGUACCUCGGUUUAGAGCCAAAGUGUCCUGCCUGCAUUCCAGCUGUUUCCAUCCAUGUCCAUGUCAACUGGCAUCUGGAACUACUCGUAGCAGCAUCCACUCAAUAUACCAGCCUGGAAGACAACGGAGCUGUCAUUCUGUUAAAAAAUUAAGAGAAGUACGCAGAACCUGCCUUUUUCUAAAUGAGAAGCUUUGGAAGCGACUGGACACUUUUGGCCAUUGCAGUCCACAGGUAGCCUCUCUGGGGGCAAUAGACAGACUUUUUCACUUCUUGUAUUUACUCCCCAAAUGCUUGAUUACAUAGCUUGUCACCUGUCAGGGGGGCCAGCUAGCUAGUUGCUGGGUUGAGUGGUUAAUCCAAUGAUUUGUAUAGCUGGCUCACUAAGGAAAUCAUAGGUACUCAAUAUAUAGCUACUGAACAAUUC
rnacentral:lncRNA from 1 species